CAGAGUCCUGGAACAGAUUCAGUUCGUGAGCCAAGGUACCACUGUAAUUCCCUUUGUUGCUCAGGGAGAAAUUUAGCUAGGGGGCUAGGGACUCCAUUUGGCUAGGGACUCCAUUCUCAGGGAGAAAUUUGGCUAGGGACUCCAGAAAUUUGGCUAGGAACUCCAAGGGAUUGACCUUGGGCAGAUUCCGCUAUCACCGAGUUUGAGCACAGAUUGUGCAAGAGGAACAGGAUAUCCCUUCUACAUGGACCCAGUAUAGACUCUAAAGGUGGCAUGAUGUUGGCCACUGUUGUGUCGGAGCCUUCCAUAAUCCUUCAUAACAUUAAGGAGGGCUGGCACAAAUGGAAUGGCUGCUGAAAUUGUGUCCUCUGUCCAGACAAUGUCAUAUAUUAGAUCUAUCGGAGGCUCAGAUAGCUGUUGCAUCUCCAAUCCAAAAGAUGUUGUCAUACAGAGGACUUGCACAGAGAAUCUUCCUAAGUCCUUGGAGGGGGAUCCCAGGCCUUGUGAUGUUACCAUGUCCUCUGGUGACACGGACAUUGGGUCUUUAUAUAUCUGUUGGUCAGAGUAUGAUGGGUAGUCUGCUGGCAUAAAUGAAAAGGGGGAACAGCUGGAUGGAGAGGGUGGUAUCUGGGGUGAUGGUGCUUGCCAUGUUGGCCACUAGAAACUGGAGAUAUGGGGCAUGGUGGCUGCACAGGCACUGGGAUCAAUAGUGUGGUAGCCCACAGGUCCUCUUGCAAAAGAGGAAAGAGUCCAAUAUUGGUAUAGCAUCUCCUCCAUCUCAGUUCCCAUAGCUGAUGUCCAUACAGUGCUAUUGGUGGCAUCCAUUGGGGUUCCUUUCCCCAAGUAUGCACUGGAGUUCCACCUGAGCAUUGGCUAAAACCAUGAGAAACUGCCAGGGAAACUGCCUUGUAGGAUGGUCUGGGGACUUGUUUUUGGGCUGUUCUGGGUGAUCACAGUGUUGUUGAUGGGGAAUCUCCUAUUUCUCCCUCUGAAAAUAAGUGCCUAGGUUUUUUGUUUUUGUUUUGCUGGUGAAACAGUCGGUCCAUGCUCACCAGUCGCACCUCAGACUGAACUGGUCCCAUGUGGGUGAAUGGCAUUAAGCCUUUUUCUUUGGCUUUCCUGUGGGCUUUUUUUCCCUGCCAUUUUGGUGCCACUUAUGGUCCCCAUUUUGUGGCCGUGUUUGGACCUCUUUUUGGAUGUUCUUUGGUUGUUGAUGGCCUGGGCUUCAUUUUCACAGCUGGCAAAGCCCCAGCAGCUGUUGAUGGUUGACAAGUGCUUGAAAUUGCCCAUGAGGGCCAGAGGUCACUGUGUCAGCAGCCUGAAGUGUUCUUGUUCACAUCUCCUGCUAAAGGUAACCUGCCCAAUUCUUUCAUGCCUUCUUGGCAAUGUGGGCAAGAGUCUACUCUGUGAUCUUCACCCAAGCAAAAGAGACAGAGUGAGUGCCCAUCUGUGAAGGGCAUACUGUGGAGGAGCUCACAUACUUUUGAAAUGCUUCUGUGAAUGCCAUUGGGAAAAAAGAGCGGGGAUUAUAGAGAAAGACCAUUAAUGGUAAGCAGAGAACAUGAGGGUGAAAUUGAAAGGAGGGCUUUUUAUAUACUUAUGUAAAACAGGGUAGAGUUAAAGCAAAGUGAAGCGUUUUGAUGAGGUAAAGUCGAGUAAAAGGGUUCUGAAUUGUUAGGUAAAGCUAGGGAUAGAAUGAAUCUGAGGCACCCAUGGCAGUCAAAAAAUGACCUGGAGAAAAUGGCAGGAGCUCCGCCUUUACAUACCACAUGGGGGAAGGGGGCAGGGCUCCUGCCAAAAUGCUUAGCUAGAAAAUUUCUCUGACAACAGGCCCCAUGCAGGCACAGAGCCCAUAUGUGUGAUUCACAGAGACCACAAAAAAGAAUUAAUGUUUGCAGUUUCAUCAGGAAGCACUAGGUCCCUAUUAUGUAUAGCCCAGGAAUGAUCUGACAAAUUAUAGGGCAAUUAUUAGAUGGUCCACAGAAUAUUUUUGCUCAAUUUAUUUUAGAAAAAUUGGAGGAUUUGGUAGAAAAUUUUACCUUGCUUUUCUCCAAUACAACUGGUUUCGUAUACAUCACUCAACUCUAGAUAACCAUUUUAUGUUGAAUCAUAUUAUUGAUAAAUAUUUGGUUGAAACUGUAAAACAGAUUUAUAUAGAUUUGAUUGAUCUCAAAGCUGCUUUUGAUUCUAUUUCUCAUGACCAGCUCUGGAGAAAAUUAAAAUCUAUGAGCACUGACUCACAGCUCUUAAACUGCAUAAUGUCUUUGUAUUUUGGGACAUCCUUGCACAUUAGAAUUGAUGGAAGACAUUUAUUGACUCUGUACCAGUUCCAAGAAGAUUAAGACAAGCAGUUUACUUGUCCAGCUUCUUUGUAAUUUAUUUUAAAAUUAUCUAGUAGAGUCCUGAAGAGGCCACUGUUAUUUUACAGUUAAAGUGGGUAAUCAGAAAUAUUUGGUCCUUCUUUAUGUGGAUGAUGCUACCUUAAUUUCCUACACCCAACAGAACUUACAAAGAUUGAUGAACCAGUUCCGCUUAUUUUGUAAGGAAUGAACUUUUUUCUGUUAAUUAUACAAAAUGAUAUUUGGUAAAUCUAAGAAAAAUCUUAAAUGGGCACUUAAUGGAAAUAAACUGGACCAAGUAUCCUCCUUUAAGUAUUUUGAUGUGGGUCUUCCACUGGACCAGGAGCAUGGUCUUUAUCAGUACAGUCAAGCACCUUGUUAACUGGUAGGACAUUAAAUGGAUGGUUAGGCUUUUAUCAUACAAAAGCGGGUAAUCUGGUGCAGACCAUUCUGGACUUGCAUAAGACUGGAGCUGGAGUCCAUUGUGGGCUAGGACCUAUUUAGAAUCAUUAGAAAGUGGUCAAAUAAAUUUCUGCAUAGACUUUUGGCAUGUCUGCCUCUAUAAAACUAGAAUUGGUUCAUGCAGAACUUGGUGGAAUAACUAUUAAAGCUUAAGUUCUUAGAUAAGCCUUGCUAUUUUGGUUACAAAUAAUGUUUAAGCAAGUCUCAGAGUUUAUUCUGGAAUUAUUUGAAGAGAUGGGCCCGAAUUAAUGGAAGCAAAAAAUAUAUGUGCUGAGCUUGGGAUUCUCUAUCUGCUUUCUUUUAGCUCAUAAUAUGAUAAGAGCUAAAGUGAUACUGCUCCAAAAGCUUAAGGAUUCUAAUUUUAGGAACCUUGGAUUAAGGCCUGUCAUUAUAACAGCUUUUAUUUUUCCUUUAUUCUUCAUACCUAUCUCUUCCAAAAUAUUUGGUUGACUUGCCAAAUAUUAAAAUGAGGGUAGCCCUUACUAGGACAAAAUGAAAUGUACUUCCUUUUGGUAGAUUGGGUGGGUAGUCAUAAAAGAGUUUCUAAGAAGGAUACAGUAUGUGGUUGCAAUUUUGCAUCAGCAGAAAAUAUUGUUCAUGUACUCCUACAAUGCUCUAUUUAUAAUUAUCUUAAACCUAAAUCUACUCAUCCAUUGUUAAAAUAAUUGUUGAAGCUCAUAUUUCAUAAAAGUUUGUAGCUUUUUGUCUAACGCUGACAAAUACAUCUUUUAAAACACCUAAAUUUCUUGUCUAUGGUUUACAGAUGUGAAUGAUGAAAUUCAAACAAGAUAAUGAGUACUAUAUACCUUCUGGGGGUAUAUUAAUAGAGUUUUAACUGUGUAUAAUGGCAAACUACUGAGAUACAAUGAACUUAAUCUCUUCUUGGCACUAGUGCUAGAAAAUGGGCAGUAUUGGAUAUUUCCCAUUAUGUCAAACUCUGGCCUUUUAAUUUAAACAUAUGCUCAUUAAAAAUAUAUUGAAAUCAAAUCCUAAUUUAAUCCCAGCAACUCAAUUUAAAAAGUAGGCAUAUGUAAACAGGCAUUCCGUGUGCACUGAUUACACCCAUACAAGAUUGUUGCACUUUGCAUGGGACUUUCUGGUUUAAAAACUUCAGCUAAUGAAAAAUCUUGACAAAGGCUCAACAUUCACAUGUUGUUGGAAUUAUUGCCUUAGUUGUUAAGUUCAGCUAUCACUGCUUUAUUUUAGAUGGGAGCUGAAGAAACAUAUAGUUCAGACUUUUAACUAAACAGAGAGUGUGAGAGGGAGACCUCUUGGAGAGCAUCUGCUAUUGGGUGGUAUUCAAAUUAAUUAAUUAAUUAGAAACUAUACAUUCUUAUUUGUUCUUACUGGCCUUACUUUUAGAGGUGGUGGUGGAGUCACGGGCUUACAGAAAAUGAAAUAGUCUGAUCUUAACUGGGCUGAAUUCAGAUGUAAUCAUAUUUCAAGUAUACCCAUUGAAAUAAAUGGGACUGAAGUUAGAAAUGGCUAAAUUAGGUUUCAUUAAUUUCAAUGGGACUGUUCUAACUUUUGACUAAAUCUGAAUCCAGAGUUUUUCUGGGGUGAACCAACAAAAUCCGAGAGCAUUCUUCAGAUUGGAUACAGCAGUGGGAGGAAUAAGGGGUUACCUGUGCCAGUGAAAGCAGCCACUCUUCUUACAUACAGAGUUAGGGUUAGCACAAGCCUACUUCUGCUUAAUAUAACAGGGGGAGAAAGCAGGAUGGGUGAAUGAGCUGAGUCCCCUUUUCUCCUUCCAUCAGAGAAAAAAAGGGGAACUCAGAUGCUUCACUUUUGUUCACCCUGCCACUUUCCCAUAUACUAUUCAAUAAUAAUAUUAUUAUAUUAUGCUGUAGAUUCAAUUUCAAGCUUAAUAUUUAGUUUAUUGUUGUUGUUGUUAAAUUACUAUUACUAUAACUAUUGAUGUUGGUGUUAUAUUUAAAACAUAGUAUUUACCACAGGGCCAUGCCUUGUUUGAUUAAAGUGUCUAUGUAUAGAUGACAAAUGAGCAGAUGUAAUAUUCCUAUUAAUAUGGUUUAAAUGUGUCUCCGUAUAUCUCCUGACUCCAUAUAGCCCUACCAGACCACUAAGACCUUCAUUGGAGGUCCUUCUCCGAGAGCUACUACUUAAUGAAGUGAGGGAGGAAACAGCUAGGAGAAUCUUCUCUGUGAUUGCACCCCACUUAUGGAAUGCUCUCCCUAAGGAAGUGUAGUUGACAUCCUCAUUAAUUGUCUUUUGCUGCCAGGUUAAGACCUUACUAUUUAACAUGUUCUUUUAGUAGUCAAUUGGUUUUUACUCUGUUAUCCUCUUGUUGUUCACUUGUUAUGUUUUCCUGCAUAAAUAUCACAUUUUAUUUUUGUUGAUUUUGUUGCUCUAUUGUUUUAUCAUUGGUUGUUCUUUUUUUUAAAAUAGUAAGCCAAUCAGAGAGCCCUUUGGGCUAUAGGGUAACAUAUAAAUAUAAGUUUAAGAAAUAUAAUACAUAAAUAAUGUGCCUAGAAUAUCAGUAUUCAGUAAUUACUGCAUAACAGAGACUUCAUUUUACUUUUUCAGGGCACAAUCCUAAACAUGAUCCUAGGCUUAGUGGCAUUUAAAAUUGAAAAAUUCAUACUUACAGUCAUCAUGUCAUCACACUUCAUGUCAGGCUCAUCCUCAUCUUCACUCUUGUUAUAAAAUUUGCGGAAAAAGUUGAAUGCUACAACAGUGUAAAGGUAUACCACUACUGCUAAGAGUCCAACGGUCAAUACAAGCUGUAAGUAUGUAAAAUAAAACAUAGGGGGUGGGGAGACAGUAUUUAUUAAUUUUUAAUUUAUUAGUAUUAAUAAAUUGCUUACAUAAAAAGAUUUCAAAGAAGUACACCCAAUCCACAAAAACAUAAAAAUGAAGAACAAUACAUAAAAUACUAGGUAGUAGAUCAGAUGAUAGGCUACACAUACAGGGAAGGCUGAAAACUCUAUUGCUAUAUAUAAGUAUCAGCUAGAAUCAUAAGCCAUUAAGAUGUGGAAAAUUAUGAUUUCCUAAAAUAGCAGGAUUGGAAUAUUUUGAAUUCUAUGUGGUUAACAUGUAGUAAGACAAGCAAAACUUGAAGUUAGAGAUUAUAUCUGCUGCUUUGACUGGCUUUCAGCCAUUUUAUUUUACACACGUUCGGUUCUGGCCAUCAUUUAGCAAGUUGUUAAUGUGGAGUGACUCCCCAUAUGGGGCAGUUUUCUCCACACAAUAUCAUUAUAGCAUCCCACUGCCAACCCCAAAGGGACUGAACCUUUGUAAAGAUGUAUUUAAUAGGCUUACAAAUUGUCCAGUUUUUCCAUGUAUUUUUACCUAUCUCAAGGCCCAGAAACUUACUUCGCAUCAAGGAAAGGCAGAGGCUGCUUCCAGGACCCUAGUGGAGCAUCUUAUACAGAGAAUUAUGUAACCUAAACAUUCUGGAUUGAAUAAACUGAAAAACAGUUUACUUGUUAAUAGGUGACAGGUUACUUCUGCUAUACUACUUGCUCUUCAUAGCUAAUGGUGAUGUAACCAUCUGCUCUGAAGACAGAUAUAAAAUGAAACAUCCAUAGUCCAUUGGCCAGUGGCCUCAGAAGCAAAAUGCCUAGGCAGUGCUUAGUGUCAUUGAGAAGAAAAUGUGCUUGAAGUUAAAACCUUGGGCAUGUUUUAAUACCAAUCUUAAAUUCAGUUCUAACAUUAAAGUCUGUUAUGCCCCUGUAGUCAGGUCUAAAGUACCCGGAGGAGGGCUUUCCUGCGGUGGCGCCCAACCUAUGGAAUUCACUCCCCAAAGAGGUCCGCCUGGCACCGUCGUUACUGGUUUUUCGGCGCCAGUAUUUUUCAGGUUUGAUCCAGAGAUGUGCUAGUGGAAGAUAUCCUGUCAGUGGUGGUUCUGUUCUAUGAAUGGUUGUGCAACAGCAAGCUGAAGGUACUGUGGACCCUUGUUCAAGAGUGCAGUCAUUUAAGCAUUUAAGCUAAUCAUUUAAGCUUUCUUCAGAAGGCAUUGCACAAUCUCUGUGCAAGAUGAGGCAUACAUCUGGAAUACAGUUCAGUUUUCUUGCAGCAGAAUUGUGCAGUAUGUCAGAAAAUGAUCUUCCCUGAAUGGAAGAGGCCUUUUACUCACAAGAAGUACAUCUCUGGAUCCAAUUUGCUACAUUUAAAUAUUGCUGUUCUAUUCCUUCAAUUUAUACAUGUGUUUAAUCAUGGUUGCUUUAGAUGGUAGUAACUCCAAGCUGUUAUCUCACAGAUGAAACAAUGUGAAAACAAAUUGGAAAUUACUUGCUGAAUAAUUUAAAAGUUAAUAUAGGGCCAUUUAACAUAGCUAGAGGGUCUCAAGAUUGAAAUGGUCAAGAAAAUGUAUUAGACAAGAUUAAACAGAAAACCAAUAAAAUGACACGUGAUAAUCAAAUAUCUACUUAAAAGUGACGAAAUAUAAAACAAAUUGCAGAAGUUGAAAUGGAUUGAUCACUGCAAUGCUUCCAAUGACUCAUUUCUCCUUUGAUUCAUCACGAUUUAAUAUUCAUUCAGUAAAGUGCUGGAGAACCACAUCAUUGACCUAUCCCUAAUGUGCUAAAACAUAGCUUAUUUCCCCUAUUCUCAAAAAACAAACACAGAAUACAAAUACCAGAGAAUACAAAUACCCUUGACCCAUUCCCACUCUCUAAUAGGGCCAAUCUUUCUUUUCCUUUAAAUGCUGCCUAGCAUCCUCUUUAUCAUGUUCACUCUUGCCACAUUUCAGUCCAUGUUCUAUCUUCUGCACUUCAGUUAAAUUGACCUUGGUAACAAGCUCCCUGCCAAAUCUUAACAUCUCCUACCUUUUCCUUCUUCUUGACCUUUUCUCCUUCCUUUGGUAUGGUUGACUGCGGUUUCUUCUGUAAGCCUUAGACUUCUAUAACUCUUUGUAGGUAGCUAUCUCAAUCACAGAUAACUUCUGUGGACUUUCCACUAAUGGAUCUCCUCCAUCAGUCUUUCCCCUCCCAUGUGUGAGCUUCUGAGGAAGCGUUAGGACUCCAUCUUCUGGCCAGAGACAAGAAUAGCAACCCUGGUGUUUGUAGAACUGGGCCCACAGUCAGUCGUGGCCACCUGGGCUGUUAGGAGCACCACCUGGGAGCCCUGAGGGAAUAGCUAUAUAAGAACCGGCUCUUCCCUCCAGAUGUGGCUUCAGUAGCAAAGGUCUUUGAUGUUGUUGGACUUAGCUGUGUUUAGGGUUUUUUUGAAGAGGGGAGGGAUUCUGCCUAUCACAUUGCUCCUGCCUCUGCUUCUGGACCUUGCCUGGCUUCCCAGUCUUUACCUGUUCUACCUUCUGCUCCAAUCUCAGGUCUCUACUUCUCGGCUUGUCUCUCUGGCUUUCAACUCCUGACCAGCUUUGACUAUUCUUUGCUAUUUGGACUGACUUACCUUGUACUUCUGUUACUGGCCUUGACCUCUGGACUGCUUGACUGCAAUUUGGAAUAGGCCUUUGUAGUGUACUGGUUGUCUGGGUCCUGGUGCUCUGAUCUGACCUAGCUGCCCACACCCUGGUCUGUGACACCUUGGCAUUCUGUUCUGGGUUUCCUUUUAUUUUCUCCACUUGCGUGACCUCAUCAAAUUCCAUCCUUCAGUACUACAGAUAUGCUGAUGACAUCCAACUGUACCAUUUAAUUUCAGACCUUUC